rnacentral:rRNA from 1 species
GACGAACGCUGGCGGCGUGCUUAACACAUGCAAGUCGAGCGGUAAGGCCCUUUCGGGGUACGACGAGCGGCGAACGGGUGAGUAACACGUGGGUGACCUGCCCUCAGCUCUGGGAUAAGCCUGGGAAACUGGGUCUAAUACCGGAUAUGACUCCAUGACGCAUGUUGUGGGGUGGAAAGCCUUGUGCGGCUGAGGAUGGGCCCGCGGCCUAUCAGCUUGUUGGUGGGGUGANGGCCUACCAAGGCGACGACGGGUAGCCGGCCUGAGAGGGCGACCGGCCACACUGGGACUGAGACACGGCCCAGACUCCUACGGGAGGCAGCAGUGGGGAAUCUUGCGCAAUGGGCGAAAGCCUGACGCAGCGACGCCGCGUGAGGGAUGACGGCCU